CUUCUCCCUGAGUGUUCCUUCCUAUAGAAAAUGAGCAAAGAGUAAUGGCAGUAAAAGAUUUCUCACUGUCAAAGGGUCCUGAGUCUGAUUUAAAUAAAAUACCCAUUUUUAAAAAAUUGAUAGCCAAACACAGUAAAAGCUAAUAAGUAUAUUGACCUUACAGAUGACAUGUAUAUAUUAACUGUUAACCUAACUUCUUAGAGGCCUUCUUAAUCUUAGAAUAAACAUAUACAUUCUUUGGCCUUAUGAAAAUUUCCCCAAAGCCAAUAAUAAAUCAAUUGCUAUAAAGCAAUUAUUUUUCAAUAAAUGAAUAACCUAGAACUGCCACUAAGAUUCAGUUUGCUUCAGUGAAUCAUACAAUUCCAGGAAAUUGAUUUGUGCAAUUUUUCGUUGUGUGUGUGUGGCGGGGGAGGAGUAUAUAUUUGUAGUAUGAAAAGGAGCAUAUUUUGAUGUAUUUGAAACUAUCACGAAGGAGA
rnacentral:lncRNA from 1 species